UUAUAUGUUAUUGGAUUCAGUUGGCUAGUGUUUUGUUUAAGGAUUUCUACAUCUAUAUUUAUAUGGGAUAUUGAUUUGUAUUUUUCUUUUCUUGUGAUAGCUUUGGUUUUAGUGUCACGGUAAUACUGCCCUCAUAGAAGAUGUUGAAGAAUUUUAAGAGAAUGGUGCUGAAGCUUAACUUGGUCACAAAUAGAAGAAUUUUUCAGAGUGAUCACUACACAGCAUGGUGUGAAUGGAUUAGAAGAUUGGAGCAUGGGAAAGCAACCAUAAUCUUCCUGGAGAGAUGACACUUGCUUUAACUGGAGGAAUCAAUUAGUGACAUUUGGAGGAGAGAGCAUGCUAUACUUUAAGAACAGCAUGAGCUGAACCAAAGCACAGAGGUAAGAUGCAACCCUGGUCUGUGUUGGGAAUUACAUGUAGUUUGGUAUUGCUGCAAUGUGAGCGUAUUAGGAAGGAAGUGGUCAGAGUUGUGGCUGAAGAUUCCAGCUGAAGCAUGAAAGAGCUCCAUGAUGUCAGGGAGCUUGGCCAUUAUCUGUGCAUAGUGGGGAUCCAUUGAUGGUUUUAAGUGGGGAAUGAUGUGAUCUAAUUAAGAUUUUUAAAAUAUAACUCCAGCCAGCCUAUGGGGGAGGGAUUAAAGGAGAGGAAGGGUGAAAGAGAAAUCGGAGCUAUCAGUUAAGAGGCUCUAACAGUGUUGGUAUCUGCAACUAAGUUAUCUCAUGAGACUUCAACUAGAGAACUGAAAGACAGUGUGAGCAGAGUUAAGGGAACUACCAAGACUGUGAGAGAAUGCCAGAGCUAGCAACAGUGGGAACCAUUACCAGCCCCUGGCAUGAAGGGUCAAGGGAAGGGAAUGGUGAGAAGCUAUGGAGAAAAAGCACCGUGAUAGGAGUUGUAGGAGUUGGGUUCCCCAGAAGUUGACCCUAGAGGAGGGUUCCAGGAAGAACUAGUCAAGAAGCAGGAGGAAGAAGCCAUGUUUAGGUACUAUUUCAUCAGCAUCUGAUGGAAGAAAAAUGCUAUCCCAUGAGUUAGGAGUUAGAAGGUCUGGUGCCAGGUCUUUUGCCACUUAUACCACUCAAAGUCCCCGGCUUUUAGUUUGAUCAUCUAUAAAAUAGGGAAAGUUCAUUCUUACAUAGCCAAUGUGGGAAUGAAAUAAGGAAGUAUGAGGGUUUUGUAAGGGAGUAGGCCAAUAUAAAGUACUAGGACAUAGAAAAAUCGGAGAUAAUUUAUUUAACCUGACUGAUCUGGGGAAUGUGAGUUCAGACCUGGAGCCAUACAUAGGGGCUGGUC
rnacentral:lncRNA from 12 species